UUUCAGUAUCUGGCAUGGAGAGCCCAUGUUUUGGUUUUCUGGUUUUGGAAAAAAGAUUGAGCUCUGAUGUUGAUUUUCAGAUAAUCAGUGUGUGGGCUAUUAACAACAGUGCCUAGGGUCAGAUGCAGCACUGCAUUUUUGGUUUGGGGUGAAGAGGUUUGGGGACAAGGAUUAACUCUUUACUUUUUCCCUCCAGGACUGAAGACUGAAAUAAAUAAAAGCAAUUUGUGGUGCCUACAACCUCAUACCUGCUGGUCUGCAAGUGGAACCUCACAAUGAGAUGCCUCCCAGUGCAGCAAAACUCACUGACCAUCACUGUGUUGGACACUUCUCUGGAUUCCUCUGGAACAGUGAAGAGGGCUGUGGAAGUGGAGCAGAACAGGACUAGUUCUGGCAUUUUGGCUGCUGCAGGUGAGCCAGCAAAUCACCAGGAAGUGGC
rnacentral:lncRNA from 1 species